AAACGGGACGGCCCGCCAGAGGACCCCUAAACUCUGUUUCUAUAUGUAACUUCUGAGUAAAACCAUAAAUAAAUCAAAACUUUCAACAACGGAUCUCUUGGUUCUGGCAUCGAUGAAGAACGCAGCAAAAUGCGAUAAGUAAUGUGAAUUGCAGAAUUCAGUGAAUCAUCGAAUCUUUGAACGCACAUUGCGCCCGCCAGUAUUCUGGCGGGCAUGCCUGUUCGAGCGUCAUUUCAACCCUCAAGCCCCCGGGUUUGGUGUUGGGGAUCGGCGAGCCCUUGCGGCAAGCCGGCCCCGAAAUCUAGUGGCGGUCUCGCUGCAGCUUCCAUUGCGUAGUAGUAAAACCCUCGCAACUGGUACGCGGCGCGGCCAAGCCGUUAAACCCCCAACUUCUGAAUGUUGACCUCGGAUCAGGUAGGAAUACCCGCUGAACUUAAGCAUAUCAAUAAGCGGA
rnacentral:rRNA from 1 species